UACAGAGGUCCCGAGCGUUGUUCGGAUUCACUGGGCGUAAAGGGUGCGCAGGUGGGUUGGCAAGUUUGAUGUGAAAGCCCCGGGCUUAACCCGGGAAUGGCAUUGAAUACUGCUGAUCUGGAGGAUCGGAGGGGGGACUGGAAUUCUUGGUGUAGCAGUGAAAUGCGUAGAUAUCAAGAGGAACACCAGUGGCGAAGGCGAGUCCCUGGACCGAUACCUGACCACUGAGGCACGAAAGCCAAGGGAG
rnacentral:rRNA from 1 species